rnacentral:rRNA from 1 species
ACGGGGUGCAGCAGGCGCGAAAACUCCGCAAUGCGCGAAAGCGUGACGGGGGAACCCCAAGUGCCGUUGGACUUUUGUUCGACGGCUUUUAUGGAGUCUAGGAAGCUCCAGGAAUAAGGGCUGGGUAAGUCGGGUGCCAGCCGCCGCGGUAAUACCCGCAGCCCAAGUGGUGGUCGCGAUUAUUGGGCCUAAAGCGCUCGUAGCCGGGUUGGCAAGUCCCUUGUGAAAUCGGGCGGCUUAACCGUUCGGCUUGCAAGGGAUACUGCCAGUCUUGAGGCCGGGAGACGUUGAGGGUACUCUGAGGGUAGCGGUGAAAUGCUCUAAUCCUUGGGGGACUACCAGUGGCGAAGGCGCUCGACGAGAACGGACCUGACGGUGAGGGGCGAAGGCUAGGGGAGCGAACGGGAUUAGAUACCCCGGUAGUCCUAGCUGUAAAGUAUGCGGGCCAGGUGUCUGGUGUUCCUCGAGAGCACUAGGUGCCGGAGAGAAGUCGUUAAGCCCGCCGCCUGGGAAGUACGGUCGCAAGGCUGAAACUUAAAGGAAUUGGCGGGGGAGCAC